AGGCAGGCUCUCAGUGAAUCCACUUGAACCUAAAUUGGACUUCUGGUUGCCCCCAACCCAGAAUGCCAACCUGCAGACAGCCAUUGCUGAUGCAGAGCAGCAUGGGGAAGUGGCCCUCAAGGAUGCCAAUGCCAAGCUUCAGGACCUCAAGGCUGCCCUGCAGCAGGCCAAGGAGGACCUGGCCCGGCUGCUGAAGGAGUACCAGGAGCUGAUGAAUGUCAAGCUGGCCCUUGACAUUGAGAUUGCCACCUACCGGACCCUCCUGGAGGGCGAGGAGUGCAGGAUGUCUGGGGAGUGCCAGAGUUCUGUGAGCAUCGAGAUGGUUCACAACACCACCAGCAGCAGCAGUGGCGGCAGCGGCGCCCUGGGAGGAGGAGCUGGAGGUCGAGGAGGCCUGGGGAGCGGGGGUCUGGGAAGCGGCGGUCUAGGCAGCGGGAGGCUGGGCAGCGGAGGCCGGGACAGCAGGGCCAGCCGCGGGGGCCUGGGCUUGGACAGCAGUUCCGGCGAGGGCUCUGCUGUGCGCGGGGGCGUCUCCAAUUCCGGGGGCUCGUGCGCCGUCAGCGGGGUUGGCGGUCGCAGCUCGGUCCGGGUCACACAAAGCUCCUCUCAGAGCCAGCGGUCCCACCACAAACUCUGAACGUUGUCUCGGACCCACCAGCCCCCUUCACCUGCCGGCACACUCUAGCUCUGUACGCCCUUUGAUAUACCCGUGGGACCCUUUCCCUACGUAGCUUCUGCGGCUGGCAUGGCGGCCCAAAAUUUCCUGGGAGGGGUUAUCUGGGGGAAAAACCAUCUACUCCAAUAAGGCCGAGCCGCGGGGCAGUGCCCAGGGGCUGGGCUGUGUCACCGCCCCCGCCCCGCAGGGCUCGCCACCCCAGCCCACGUUCCACUGUCCUAUGGGAAAGCCCCAGCCAGCCCUGUGCAUACCCGGCUACCCACCCUUUCUCGGCGGCCCCUCUCCUCCCAAUCUCCUGCUGAUGUUUUGGUUUCCCUCGAGCAGUACUUUUCCUUUCUUGGCACCAAUAUAUGUAUGAAUUUUCUGUUCUAUAUCUUCAAUAAACCGCAUUUAUUCAGACA
rnacentral:lncRNA from 1 species